UUUAGGCAAUUGCUGCUCAGAGACCAACAUACAACACAUAGCUAAGUGGCAAUGUCCGGCAAUGCAAAGGAUCUGAAGAAGGACACUUCUGAAAAGACAGGGAGAGGGGGUAGGAGAAAGGGGAUUAGUUAAACUUGUGCAAGUAAGUUGGCAGGAGCCAAGCUGUCAUAUAUGGGGAACUGGCUUCUUCAGACAACUUGCAGGGAAAGGUUCCUGCAAUGGAUGGACAGCAAGCUGAGCCACACCAAGGCGUAGAAUCCUCCACCCACAACUCUGAAGAUGCGUCAAUAAAUAAUACUGCUCAAGUCCCGAGACUGGUAGUUUCUGUCGACUACAGAUGUCAAUUGGUCUGUCACCUGACCAAUGAACUGUCAGUAGAAAUGAAUCGCCGCACUUGCCAGAGAAGAAGCGCAAAGAUGGAAAUGGUUUGAAGCUAAUGGAUCCAUGAAAGAGGAAAGAUACCCAAGAACCAGCAACUUCACAGCUCGAGUACUCCAUAAUUAUCAGAUUUCAAUAUUUGAUUUUUAAAAAGAAAUCAUUAGCUGCACCCUUUAUGAUGACUCGAAUUACUGAAAGCUGAAACAGGAAGCAGAAUCGUACUGUUUACCGAACAUGAUGUACUGUACUUCUGUACAGUGGUGAACUGUUAAUCCAGAAACCAGAGUAGUCCAGCUACAAGUCUGCACUGUGUAUGAUGGAGGGAAAAUCAUUGAGAAGAAGCUGAGGAUAGUUUGGUCAAGGACACUAUGUAGAGGAACUCCUGCAGAGAUGUCCUGGAGCCGAGAUGACUGACCUCCAAAAGCCAUCCUGCUAUGUGCCAGGUUUGCCAAGGAUGAAACAAGAGGAUAAAGAAAGAUAUGAGAUGGACUGAGACAUGCAGGUCCUUUCCUCUCACCCUGUUCUAGUAACAUUUAGUGGCCAAGAAGGAACAUGGACAACCUGCUUGCAAGCCCCUUUAACUGGUCACAGGAAAGUGGCCAAGUAGAAUCUGGAUUGAUUCUCCUGCAGAUUACUGCAAUCAUCAAUUCAAAAGCAUGAUUGCUUUGCAAAUAAUUCUUAAACAAUUGUCUUGACUGUUCAUCGUAGUUUUGUUUAUGGCUUCCUCAGUGAUUUACAUCAGCAAGUGAGUCUGAAGAAUAACAACAAAAUUAUCAGGAAUCAAUAAUCUCAUUGAAGUACCUGGGAUCUGGUUUUACCUUACUGUAGAGUCUGGCUGCCAAACUGCGUUGAAGGAUUCUCUCUCGGUAAUUUAGCGCUUUCAAUAAGAAGCUCAGACUGCCCACCGUCUCUGUGUUAAAUGCUAGGAUACUAUGGGAAAUUAAUGAAUAGACAGUCAGAGUUUUUCCAACUGUUACAAGUAGACAACAAAUUAUUUUAGGUUCUGUCUGGUGCAGGAAACUGAGACUACAAUUAGAAAGAAGCAUAUUAAUAUACAGUACACAAAACAGCCACUGCUGUUUAUCUGUUCAGUUUUAAAGUUUAAUCAAUUCCACUCACUUCUAUAUUUCACAAUCCUCUUAAUUGUUCUAUUUAUCUUGUCUCUGUUUAAUAAUCUACCAUCAUUGUCCCCCCAACACACACCACCUUGAUUGAUUGUAUUAGCUAUUGUAUUAAAAAGUAGGCCAGGACUUAGGGUAUAAGAAAGUAAGGGUUAUUGUAUUAUACAACAAUAUCUUUUAUGUCUGAACACUCCAGACACACUUUAUAGUGUCUAAGCAUCACUUCUGAAAUGUAAUCAAUGUUGUAAACAAUUAUAUUUCAGAUUUACCACCAUCACAUAUCUCUCUGCUGCUCACUGUGUUGGUUGCAUUAAAUGGUCAAAUGCAGUUAUGAUCUCACAAUGACUAAGUGCGACAGAAUGCAGGGUUUUACAGGAUUUUACUCUUAGCUCAGCCAUAGAUGGCUCCCUGCUGUAAAUCAAGGAAUGCUGUAUUAACCCUUAUAUGACAGUGGGGAGACCUGGGCACUAUGUCCACUGCCCUCCAAAGUUCAAACUCUUCUUGGAUUACAUUAGGUCAUCAAGGCCUAGAUUUUGUCAUUUAAAUGUGAAUCGAGAUGAAGAAAAUGUGUUUUUGUAAUGAGUUGGUAUGAUUUGAAACAUACUGCCUGAAAGAACAGAUUCAAUAGGAAUUUUUAAAAGGGAACUGAAUAGGCACUUAAAGAGAAAAAAAAUCUACCCAAUAAUUCUUUCAAAGAGCCAGUGUUUGAGUCAAACCUCUUGAGACCUUUUCUAGUAUAGUAAAGAUAAAGUCGCUAUUGCUCAACUGGACCAAAGACUGCUGUCUCAUUAAAGAGAGAGAUGAUUGGUGAUGGUUUAAUCUGAGGAUCACCACGGUUCAGGUGGGGGGAGGUGUUGAGAAGGUAGGCCGUUUGCCUUAACCUCAGUCGGUGUGGGAACUAAACCCAUGCUGUCGGCAUCACUUUGCAUUUCAAACCAGACAUCCAGCCAACUGAGCAACUGGCCCCGUCUGGUCCUGCACGAUUCUGUGAAACGUGGAAUCUACGUGCUUCUUUCCGUGGGGCAGCAACAGAAACGACUGAACCAAGCAGAAAUUCAGCGCCCCAUUGUAAACAGUGGAAGAACUAAAGAGCAACAAUAGCUUCAAUGCUGUAACAUUGUAACGGGGUGAAAUUAGAUGCACAAAUUUAAAAUGCCUGGUAGCAGGGGCACAACACAAAGUCACAAGGGGGAAAUCAAGGAGUAUGUUUCUCCAUAGUUAUGCAUGUUCAUUGCUAAAUGAUUUCCCCUCCAGCACCAAGUCAGAUGCCAUUUAAUGUUUGUUGGUGUAAACAGAACCUAAAUAAUGACGUGCUCCUUCCAAGAUCUGUUUGUCACCACUGGCUUCAAAGAUAAUUUUGAACCUUUCAUCUCUUUUGUGGUGAUAUUGCCGGAAAGCCCAAAUGUUCCAGGACAUUGGUUUUACUCCUGUCAUUAUCCAUAUGUCUUGCUACUUGAAUCUAUGAAUACUGACUGAGACAGUAAACACACAUUUGAAAACAACCUAAUAACAGACAGAGGGUUAAAUUCCAGAAAAACACAUUUUAAGAAGUCUUAACAAAUUUUGUUUCACUUCUGGGAACAGUGUUUUGUCUGCCAGUCCUGGUUGUACAGACUGACAAACACCUCUGAAAUGAGGGGUGACUUCAUUUUUUUUUCAAAUUUCCUAUUGCUGUACAUUUGUCUCACUUGGAAGGGAUUCAUGAAUACACUGAGUUAGGACUGGUGCUCAUUCCCAUAUUUCAUACCAGAGACUCCAGGAGGGGAUGAAGGGUUCUAAGGGGAGGUUGUGAGAGUGUGGUGGUGAAAGCGGGGAAGCGGUUGUUGGGUUGUGUACCGAAAUAGCUGCUUAAAUUGUCACUUAUUGGUCUGAUGGGUCAAGAAAUUUACAAUUCCCAUUUCCGUUGACAGUGCAUGACUCCACAGUUACUACGCAGUGGAUUUCUUUAUGCUUAUCAAACAGGGCAAGAAACUCAACCAAAUCAGGUCCAGCCCAUUGUCCACAGACACAGUUGGGUAUAGGUAUAGGGAAAUACUUUAUAUCUAUAGCAUUUGAUAUAGUCCAUUGUCCACAGACACAGUUGGGUAUAGGUAUAGGGAAAUACUUUAUAUCUAUAGCAUUUGAUAUAGUUUCCAAUUUGAAAUGUUUUGCCUUUGGGCAGUAUAACUGAUGUGGAAUGUAUACUAUCAA